GCACACAGCCAUCCAUCCUCCCCCUUCCCUCUCUCCCCUGUCCUCUCUCUCCGGGCUCCCACCGCCGCCGCGGGCCGGGGAGCCACCGGCCGCCACCAUGAGUUCCUUCAGCUACGAGCCGUACUACUCGACCUCCUACAAGCGGCGCUACGUGGAGACGCCCCGGGUGCACAUCUCCAGCGUGCGCAGCGGCUACAGCACCGCACGCUCAGCUUACUCCAGCUACUCGGCGCCGGUGUCUUCCUCGCUGUCCGUGCGCCGCAGCUACUCCUCCAGCUCUGGAUCGUUGAUGCCCAGUCUGGAGAACCUCGACCUGAGCCAGGUAGCCGCCAUCAGCAACGACCUCAAGUCCAUCCGCACGCAGGAGAAGGCGCAGCUCCAGGACCUCAAUGACCGCUUCGCCAGCUUCAUCGAGCGCGUGCACGAGCUGGAGCAGCAGAACAAGGUCCUGGAAGCCGAGCUGCUGGUGCUGCGCCAGAAGCACUCCGAGCCAUCCCGCUUCCGGGCGCUGUACGAGCAGGAGAUCCGCGACCUGCGCCUGGCGGCGGAAGAUGCCACCAACGAGAAGCAGGCGCUCCAGGGCGAGCGCGAAGGGCUGGAGGAGACCCUGCGCAACCUGCAGGCGCGCUAUGAAGAGGAGGUGCUGAGCCGCGAGGACGCCGAGGGCCGGCUGAUGGAAGCGCGCAAAGGCGCCGACGAGGCGGCGCUCGCUCGCGCCGAGCUCGAGAAGCGCAUCGACAGCUUGAUGGACGAAAUCUCUUUUCUGAAGAAAGUGCACGAAGAGGAGAUCGCCGAACUGCAGGCGCAGAUCCAGUACGCGCAGAUCUCCGUGGAGAUGGACGUGACCAAGCCCGACCUUUCCGCCGCGCUCAAGGACAUCCGCGCGCAGUACGAGAAGCUGGCCGCCAAGAACAUGCAGAACGCUGAGGAAUGGUUCAAGAGCCGCUUCACCGUGCUGACCGAGAGCGCCGCCAAGAACACCGACGCCGUGCGCGCCGCCAAGGACGAGGUGUCCGAGAGCCGUCGUCUGCUCAAGGCCAAGACCCUGGAAAUCGAAGCAUGCCGGGGCAUGAAUGAAGCGCUGGAGAAGCAGCUGCAGGAGCUGGAGGACAAGCAGAACGCCGACAUCAGCGCUAUGCAGGACACGAUCAACAAAUUAGAAAAUGAAUUGAGGACCACAAAGAGUGAAAUGGCACGAUACCUAAAAGAAUACCAAGACCUCCUCAACGUGAAGAUGGCUUUGGAUAUUGAGAUUGCAGCUUACAGGAAACUCUUGGAAGGCGAGGAGACCCGACUCAGUUUCACCAGCGUGGGAAGCAUAACCAGUGGCUACUCCCAGAGCUCCCAGGUCUUUGGCCGAUCUGCCUACGGCGGUUUACAGACCAGCUCCUAUCUGAUGUCCACCCGCUCCUUCCCGUCCUACUACACCAGCCAUGUCCAAGAGGAGCAGAUCGAAGUGGAGGAAACCAUUGAGGCUGCCAAGGAAGAGUCUGAAGAAGCAAAAGAAGAAGAAGAAGGAGGUGAAGGUGAAGAAGGAGAGGAAACCAAAGAAGCUGAAGAGGAGGAGAAGAAAGUUGAAGGUGCUGGGGAGGAACAAGCAGCUAAGAAGAAAGAUUGAACCCCCAUUUCCUUAAUUAUUUCAGGAAUAAUUCUCCCGAAAUCAGGUCAACCCCAUCACCAACCAACCAACCAGUUGAGUUCCAGAUUCUAUGUGAAUUAAAAAGUCAAUAUAUGUAUAAUUCUGAGAUGACUUAGGUUGGACAUUCAAUGUUGUGCUAUGAAUUUCCUCUUUAUGCAGAGUAUCUGUUUGCUUGCAGAGUGGCUUUCUGGCUUGCUGCCAGCCUGUGCAUGGACCACGCUUAUGAGUUCAGGAUCUACGGCAAUGUGAAUCAUUCAGAUGUUUACAAUAAAAAACACCACAUGAGUAAAUGAAUUCACUAAUGUUAAUGUUAAACUUCAUGGAAAAAUAGUCCUUUGAACCUUCGGUGGUUAGCAAUUAAAGACCCUGAGUUAUGUGCAAUAAAUAGUAAAUAAAGUUAUACCGAAUGAUGUAUUUUUUGCUGUGGUUGUUACUUAAUUAAAAUACCUUAAAGAUGGCACCAAUAUAAAGUAUAUACCAGUGGACUAUUGACCUCCAAUUUUUUAAAAAGUUGAAAUUUUAACAAUUACCAAUACUUUUUUUUCUUCCUUCAAUUGGAAAUUCUGAGGGAUACAGUUAUGUCAUGAUUACUUGUGAAAUCUCUCCCCACAAAAAUUUUACUGAUAAUAAACAUGAGUAAAUGAGAAAGUCUAUAAAUAACAAUAGACUUUGCCUCAUAACACGUGUUGUGUUAGGUUUUGGGAUGGCUUUCUAGGGAGCAAUUCUGAAAUUACUUGACAGAUACACUCUUUAUGGUAAACAGGUCAUUUCAGAGUCUAGAGUGCUAACCAUUACACUAUGGAACCAUGAUAAAUAGGUCAUUUCAAACUGAUAUGUCACAAUGCAAUAUGGAUAGAAUAUGAAUCCCAUACAUUCAUCCCUAUAACUGCAUUUUAAAAUAUAGUCUAAAUAUCAUGGGAGGAGGUUAAAACCUGAGAACAUGGUACAAUAAGAAGGAAUAAUUUUUUAUCUAUAUAUAAUUUCAGGAGAAGGGAUUAAAACUACCAAAGGUUAUUUGCCACUCCACUGCAAACAUGUUGCCUGCAAUCCUGAGCUCAUGAUUUAGUGUGUUGUUAAGCGUAAUUCUGUUGCCUCAAGUAAAUACCACUUAAUGCUACACAUUUUUAAACCUUUAAAAGCUACAGACACAAGUAAUGAAAUUAUGAGUCACUUAAGGGGGGAGGUAAUAUGCUUGUAUGUUACAUUGACAUUGCUCUGCAUGUCUCUACUGGGAGAUAUUUGGAUUUCAAUGAUAGCUUGACUGGUUGGACAUUGCAUCAAAUACACGCCCCAUGUAUCCUUUCUGUCGUAAAGUUAAGAACGCUCUUGCAUUUGAUGUGGAAUAAAUAUAGAUGAUAUUACUAUCUGCUAUUCUGCCUUUGUUCUGAAACAAUUGCUUUGUCAGCUAAUUUCAUUCAAUAUUUGUUUUUUAGACGAUCUCUAUAAGUUAUUAAUUUAACCUGAAACCAAAGUGGUCUCCAUUUAAAGUUACUUAAUCCCUUUGUACCACCUAUUUCUAGUUAAAUAUAUGUUGCUAUGCAAAUAGGUAAAGUGCUUCCUUGCCAUGAUGGUAAUGGAUUGGAACUAUGAAGGCUCUCAGUGUAUUGGCUUCUGUAAAGAUGAGGCGUCUCCUCAGAAACAAAACUUUUCACAUUUCUGCUUACUAGACCUGGGUUGAUGUACAUGGUAAGUCUCAAACAGAUGCAAGCUAUGUGCAAAAAGUAACUUUAGCCAAAUGGAAAUAGCUGGAUGCUUUGAGAAUUACUUGGUUGAAGUAAGAAAACUGUACCAUCCUCUAUCCUGUGUGCCAUAAUAAAAUAGUAAAAAACCUAAAU
rnacentral:lncRNA from 1 species